rnacentral:lncRNA from 13 species
AUGGAGUGUUUGGUCCUUUUUGCCUAGUGAUUGAAAAUCUCACCCUCAAGGCACUUACAGGACACUAAAGGUGACUUUUGUUCUUAUUUCAGCCUCUUUCGACUCCUCUGGUCACUCCCACCUUCCCAGGGCAUUUCAAGGACAGAGUUGCUUCCUUCCUUCCUUCCUUCCUCCCUCCCUUCCUUCCUUCCUCCCUUCCUUCCUUCCUUCCUCCCUCCCUCCCUUCCUCCCUUCCUCCCUUCCUUCCUUCCUUCCUUCCUCCCUCCCUCCCUCCCUCCCUCCGUCCCUCCCUCCCUUCCUUCCUUCCCUCCCUCCCUUUUCUUUUCUUUCUUUCCUUGCUUCCUUCCUUCCUCUCUUUCUUUCUUUCUUUCUUCUUUCCUUCUCCAUCUUUCUCUUACCCUCCCUCCCUUUCUCCCUUCCUUCCUUUCCUUCUUACUUUUCUUUCUUAUCUCCCUCCCUUCCUGCCUCCUUCCUCCCUUCCUUCCUUCCUUUUUUCUUUCUCUUUCCUUUCUUUCUCUUUUCCUUCCCUCUUUCCUCCUUCCCUCCCUCCUUCCUUCCUUCUUUCCUUCCUUCCUUCCUGCCUUCCUCUUCCUUUCUUCCUUUCUCUCUCACCCUUCCUUCCUUCCUCUCUCUCUUCCUUCCCCCUUCCCUCCCUCUCCUUUCUUUCCCUUCCUUCCUUCCUUCCAUUCUUCCUUCCCUCCUUCCUUCCUUCGUUAUGGGUCUCCCUAGGUUGCCCAAGCUGGUCUUAAACUCCUGGCCUCAAGUGAUCCUCUCAUCACAGCAUUCCAAGAAACUGGGACUCUGGGCACAGCGCACGAUGUGCAGGACCUGUGAGAUUUUGGUAGGCCCCAGCAGAAUGUCAGCGUUAGGAGCCCAAAUCAAUUGUUGGUGAAGACAUGAGAAAGAAAGGGAAAGAAAUGAAUCAGCGGAAGAGAGCUACAGAUUUAGCGGCUUGUCAGGCUCCCUGCUGGAUGCCACAACAUGACAUUUUAGCACCAGUGAGUGUCAGUGGCAUCUUUACCAGGAGUCUCUGAAAUGACUCUUUAAAUGUAUUAAAGUGUAUUUCAAGCCAGUCUGCAGU